rnacentral:rRNA from 1 species
GUGCCAGCCGCCGCGGUAAUACGUAGGGUGCAAGCGUUAAUCGGAAUUACUGGGCGUAAAGCGUGCGCAGGCGGUGAUGUAAGACAGUUGUGAAAUCCCCGGGCUCAACCUGGGAACUGCAUCUGUGACUGCAUUGCUGGAGUACGGCAGAGGGGGAUGGAAUUCCGCGUGUAGCAGUGAAAUGCGUAGAUAUGCGGAGGAACACCGAUGGCGAAGGCAAUCCCCUGGGCCUGUACUGACGCUCAUGCACGAAAGCGUGGGGAGCAAACAGGAUUAGAUACCCUGGUAGUCC